AGAAUCUUUCGCAAUGCCCGAAAGGGUGACGAAGCGACGCCGCGUGUGGGAAGAAGGCCUUCGGGUUGUAAACCACUGUCGGGAGUUAAGAAAUGUAAGGAUGUUAAUAGCGUCCUUACUUGACUAAGGCUCCGGAGGAAGCCACGGCUAACUCUGUGCCAGCAGCCGCGGUAAUACAGAGGCGGCAAGCGUUGUUCGGAAUUAUUGUGCGUAAAGAGCACGUAGGCGGCCUUGAAAGUCAGUUGUGAAAGCCUUCUGCUUAACGGAAGAACAGCAUCUGAUACUACAGGGCUUGAGUGCGGGAGGGGAGAGUGGAACUUCUGGUGGAGCGGUGAAAUGCGUAGAUAUCAGAAGGAACGCCGGCGGCGAAAGCGGCUCUCUGGCUCGUAACUGACGCUGAGUGUGCGAAAGCUAGGGGAUCAAACGGGAUUAAAUACCCCGGUAGUCCUAGCCGUAAACGAUGGGCACUAAGUAGAGGGGUUUUGAUUAUCUCUCUGCCGGAGCUAACGCAUUAAGUGCCCCGCCUGGGAAGUACGGCCGCAAGGCUAAAACUCAAAAGAAUUGGCGGGGGCUCGCACAAGCGGUGGAGCAUGUGGCUUAAUUCGAUGCAACGCGAAGAACCUUACCGGGGUUUGACAUGGUAGAAGUAGGAACCAGAAACGGUAACGAACGGUAUCCAGUCCGUAACUAUCACAGGUGUUGCAUGGCUG
rnacentral:rRNA from 1 species